rnacentral:rRNA from 1 species
AUUGAACGCUGGCGGCGUGCUUUACACAUGCAAGUCGAACGGCAGCAUGGGAGCUUGCUCCUGAUGGCGAGUGGCGGACGGGUGAGUAAAACAUCGGAACGUGCCUUAUAGUGGGGGAUAACGAGUUGAAAGAUUUGCUAAUACCGCAUGCGCCCUAAGGGGGAAAGCCGGGGACCGCAAGGCCUGGCGCGAUUGGAUGAGCCCAUGUUCGAUUAGCUAGUUGGCGGGGUAAAGGCCCACCAAGGCGACGAUCGAUAGCUGGUCUGAGAGGAUGAUCAGCCACACUGGAACUGAGACACGGUCCAGACUCCUACGGGAGGCAGCAGUAGGGAAUAUUGGACAAUGGGGGCAACCCUGAUCCAGCCAUGCCGCGUGAGUGAAGAAGGCCCUCGGGUUGUAAAGCUCUUUUGUCCGGAAAGAAAAGCAAUCGGUUAAUACCCGGUUGUUCUGACGGUACCAGAAGAAUAAGCACCGGCUAACUUCGUGCCAGCAG